rnacentral:rRNA from 1 species
CUGCAACUCGGCUGCAUGAAGCUGGAAUCGCUAGUAAUCGCGGAUCAGAAUGCCGCGGUGAAUACGUUCCCGGGUCUUGUACACACCGCCCGUCACACCAUGGGAGCCGGAAACGCCCAAAGACAGCGGCCUAACCGCAAGGAGGGAACUGUCUAAGGCGGGUCUGGUGACCGGGGUGAAGUCGUAACAAGGUAUC